rnacentral:rRNA from 1 species
UAGGGAAUCUUCCGCAAUGGACGCAAGUCUGACGGAGCAACGCCGCGUGAGUGAAGAAGGAUUUCGGUUCGUAAAACUCUGUUGUUAGAGAAGAACAGCGCAUAGAGUAACUGUUAUGCGUGUGACGGUAUCUAACCAGAAAGCCACGGCUAACUACGUGCCAGCAGCCGCGGUAAUACGUAGGUGGCAAGCGUUGUCCGGAUUUAUUGGGCGUAAAGCGAGCGCAGGCGGUCAAUUAAGUCUGAUGUGAAAGCCCCCGGCUCAACCGGGGAGGGUCAUUGGAAACUGGUUGACUUGAGUGCAGAAGAGGAGAGUGGAAUUCCAUGAGUAGCGGUGAAAUGCGUAGAUAUAUGGAGGAACACCAGUGGCGAAGGCGACUCUCUGGUCUGUAACUGACGCUGAGGCUCGAAAGCGUGGGGAGCGAACAGG